GAGUAUGGGGCCCGCCCCAUGCCCAAGGUGGAAAAUGGGCUUCAAGGGGAGCGGUCCUCCCAAGACUCAUAGGCAGAGCGGCAGCAGCGAUGUCCCGAGGCCUCCGUGGAGCCUUAUAUGCUGUGGUGGAGUAUGGGGCCCGCCCCCAGGCCCAAGGUGGAAAAAGGGCUUCAGGGGGGAGCGGUCCUCCCCAAGACUCACCGGCAAAGCAACAGCAGCAAUGUCCCGAGGCCUCCUUGGAGCCUUAUAUGCUGUGGUGGAGUAUGGGGCCCGCCCCCAGGCCCAAGGUGGAAAAAGGGCUUCAGGGGGGAGCGGUCCUCCCCAAGACUCACAGGCAAAGCAACAGCAGCAAUGUCCCGAGGCCUCCUUGGAGCCUUAUAUGCUGAGGUGGAGUAUGGGGCCCGCCCCCAGGCCCAAGAUGGAAAAAGGGCUUCAGGGGGGAGCGGUCCUCCCCAAAACUCACCGGCAAAGCAACAGCAGCAAUGUCCCGAGGCCUCCUUGGAGCCUUAUAUGCUGUGGUGGAGUAUGGGGCCCGCCCCCAGGCCCAAGGUGGAAAAAGGGCUUCAGGGGGGAGCGGUCCUCCCCACAAACUCACGGCAGAGCGGCAGCAGCAAUGUCCCGGGCCUCCUUGGAGCCUUAUAUGCUGUGGUGGAGUAUGGGGCCCGCCCCCAGGCCCAAGGUGGAAAAAGGGCUUCAGGGGGGAGCGGUCCUCCCCAAAACUCACCGGCAAAGCAACAGCAGCAAUGUCCCGAGGCCUCCUUGGAGCCUUAUAUGCUGUGGUGGAGUAUGGGGCCCGCCCCCAGGCCCAAGGUGGAAAAAGGGCUUCAGGGGGGAGCGGUCCUCCCCAAGACUCACCGGCAAAGCAACAGCAGCAAUGUCCCGAGGCCUCCUUGGAGCCUUAUAUGCUGUGGUGGAGUAUGGGGCCCGCCCCCAGGCCCAAGAUGGAAAAAGGGCUUCAGGGGGGAGCGGUCCUCCCCAAAACUCACCGGCAAAGCAACAGCAGCA